GUGCUCGCUUUGGCAGCACAUAUACUAAAAUUGAACGAUACAGAGAAGAUUAGCAUGGGCCCUGCACAAGGAUGACAUGCAAAUUCAUGAAGCGUUCCAUAUUUUU
rnacentral:snRNA from 1 species